rnacentral:rRNA from 1 species
AGUGAACGCUGGCGGUAGGCCUAACACAUGCAAGUCGAACGGCAGCACAGUAAGAGCUUGCUCUUACGGGUGGCGAGUGGCGGACGGGUGAGGAAUACAUCGGAAUCUACUUUUUCGUGGGGGAUAACGUAGGGAAACUUACGCUAAUACCGCAUACGACCUACGGGUGAAAGCAGGGGGUCUUCGGACCUUGCGCGAUUGAAUGAGCCGAUGUCGGAUUAGCUAGUUGGCGGGGUAAAGGCCCACCAAGGCGACGAUCCGUAGCUGGUCUGAGAGGAUGAUCAGCCACACUGGAACUGAGACACGGUCCAGACUCCUACGGGAGGCAGCAGUGGGGAAUAUUGGACAAUGGGCGCAAGCCUGAUCCAGCCAUACCGCGUGGGUGAAGAAGGCCUUCGGGUUGUAAAGCCCUUUUGUUGGGAAAGAAAAGCAGCAGGUUAAUACCCCGCUGUUCUGACGGUACCCGAAGAAUAAGCACCGGCUAACUUCGUG